rnacentral:pre_miRNA from 2 species
GGUGUAUGGAAUGAAGUUUGAUCCAAGAUCCCUCCUUCUCCAUAAGUUCUUAUCUGAUAAUUACUUAAGGGAUUGAUCAUUGAUCUCGGACCAGGCUUCAUUCCUCACACC